AAUUUAAAAAUGAAAAUGAAAGCCCAGCAAAUGACUUUCAUGCAAACAAGUUGCAGUUUCGUAUUGUUCACAACAUCUUCAGAGCAAUUACACGCUUGUAAAUAAGUUUAAAAUUGCUCGGAAGAUGUUGUGAACAAUACAACGAAACGUUAGCCAAUAAAUUUUAUAUUUUUGUUAUGUCUUGUCUGAAAGUCAUUUGCUGGGCUUUCAUUUUCAUUUUUAAAUU